UACAGAGGUCCCAAGCGUUGUUCGGAUUCACUGGGCGUAAAGGGCGCGUAGGUGGGUUGGUAAGUCAGUGGUGAAAUCCCCGAGCUUAACUUGGGAACUGCCAUUGAUACUAUCAGUCUUGAAUACUGUGGAGGUUAGCGGAAUAUGUCAUGUAGCGGUGAAAUGCUUAGAUAUGACAUAGAACACCAAUUGCGAAGGCAGCUGGCUACACAAUUAUUGACACUGAGGCUCGAAAGCGUGGGGAUCAAACAGG
rnacentral:rRNA from 1 species